CUAACGCAUUAAGCACUCCGCCUGGGGAGUACGACCGCAAGGUUGAAACUCAAAGGAAUUGACGGGGGCCCGCACAAGCGGUGGAGCAUGUGGUUUAAUUCGAAGCAACGCGAAGAACCUUACCAGGUCUUGACAUCCUUUGACCACUCUGGAGACAGAGCUUUCCCUUCGGGGACAAAGUGACAGGUGGUGCAUGGUUGUCGUCAGCUCGUGUCGUGAGAUGUUGGGUUAAGUCCCGCAACGAGCGCAACCCUUGAUUUUAGUUGCCAGCAUUUAGUUGGGCACUCUAAAGUGACUGCCGGUGCAAGCCGGAGGAAGGUGGGGAUGACGUCAAAUCAUCAUGCCCCUUAUGACCUGGGCUACACACGUGCUACAAUGGAUAGUACAAAGGGUCGCGAAGCCGCGAGGUGGAGCUAAUCCCAUAAAACUAUUCUCAGUUCGGAUUGUAGGCUGCAACUCGCCUACAUGAAGCCGGAAUCGCUAGUAAUCGUGGAUCAGCAUGCCACGGUGAAUACGUUCCCGGGCCUUGUACACACCGCCCGUCACACCACGAGAGUUUGUAACACCCGAAGUCGGUAGGGUAACCUUUAUGGAGCCAGCCGCCGAAGGUGGGACAGAUAAUUGGGGUGAAGUCGUAACAAGGUAGCCGUAUCGGAAGGUGCGGCUGGAUCACCUCCUUUCUAAGGAA
rnacentral:rRNA from 1 species